rnacentral:rRNA from 1 species
GACGAACGCUGGCGGCGUGCUUAACACAUGCAAGUCGAACGGAAAGGCCCUGCUUUCAGGGUACUCGAGUGGCGAACGGGUGAGUAACACGCGGGUGUUCUGCCCUGCACUUCGGGAUAUGCGUGGGAAACUGGGUCUAAUACCCGAUAGAUGCCAUCUUUAGUGUGGUGGUUGGAAAGUGUUUUGGGGGUAUGAUGUGAUCGCGGCCUAUCGGCUUGUUGGGGGGGUAAUGGCGUACCAAGACGGCGACGGGUAGCGGGCCUGGGGGGGUGUACGGCCAAAUUGGGACUGAGGACAGGCCAAGGUUCCACGGGGAGGAAGAAGGGGGGAAUAUUGAACAAGGGGCGCAAGCUUGAUGAAGCGAGGCUGCGGGGGGGAUGAAGGCCUUCGGGUGGAAAAACCUUUUGGAAAGGAACGAAGCUUUUUGUGACGGUACCUAGAUAAGAAGCACCGGCUAACUACGUG